rnacentral:rRNA from 1 species
UACGAAGGGGGCUAGCGUUGCUCGGAGUGACUGGGCGUAAAGGGCGCGUAGGCGGCUCAUACAGUCAGGCGUGAAAUUCCUGGGCUCAACCUGGGGACUGCGCUUGAGACGUGUGGGCUUGAGUGGGGAAGAGGGUCGUGGAAUUCCCAGUGUAGAGGUGAAAUUCGUAGAUAUUGGGAAGAACACCGGUGGCGAAGGCGGCGACCUGGUCCUUGACUGACGCUGAGGCGCGAAAGCGUGGGGAGCAAACGGG